rnacentral:lncRNA from 1 species
UUUUAUUCCUUCCACCUAUAACCCAUCGACUUGUAUCUAGUUACCUGAUAUCCCUGCAAGCCACUAUGAGAUCAAGUCGACCACAAUCCAGAUGCUCCCGUCUUUCUAUGGGAAUACUAGUGAAGAUCUUUACAAACAUCUGGAUGAGUCCUUAGAAAUUUGCUCCACGGUGAAAAUUUAAAAUUUUACUGAUGAUGCACUU